CAUCAGUCAGGUCUGAUGAAUAUUGUGUGCAAUUUUUCUCUACUCUUAGUGUCAUCAUUGUUGUCCAGUCUUUGGCUUAAGAACUGUUAACAAUAAUAUCUUGCUAGUAUGAUCCUAUCAUAUUCUUGACAUAAGCUAUUUUUUGGGAUGAUUUUUUAUCCCUCCUAGUUUAAUGGACUAUGUUUUAGUUCAUGGUAUUUUAUAGUGAUCACAAUAUGGUGUGACCGAUCCUUAGACCUGCUUAACAGAUUGCUACCAUUUAUAGCAAAGUGAGCAGAAAUAUGGAUCCAAUUUAAAUCAAAUUGAGACUAGCAAUCAUGAUUUGCUUUGGGUGAAAGUAUAUAAAGUAACAUUACAUGUAUGAUGUAUUAACAAAGACUUAGUUUAUACAAACUUACAUAAGCAUUUUCUAAAAUAAGUUCACUAAGGAUAGGAGGUUGUUGGCAUGAUAGAUUAAGAGAUUUACAUGUAUAAAAAUGAUUGUUCAGUGGAAAAAUCAUUGAUCUUUUUUCAUAUGGUGCAUUUUUUCUGUAAAAAAUUAAAAUAUGAGCAAAGUAAAAAUCAGAUUUUUUUCUUGACUCUUUCCUCUCUGAACAGAAAAACAAUUGAUCUCUAAUGGAGAAAUACUUGUGUUUUGAACUUAUGAUUGUGUUAUCUAUUUUAAAUCACUGUUGGUGCAUCGACAUAGGUUAAAAAUUUUGAUGAACUACUUAUUAUAAAGAUGUGAUAGUCCCUAUCAAUUAAUUAAUAUGUUGUUUAAAAUCAUUGUCAAUGUUUGUUGGUAACGCCAAGGUAGGCAUAGCAGCACAUGGAAGAUCCCGACUAUUGACCUUUUUUCACAUCAUGAAUCUACAAUACUGUCAAUGCCAGUACAGCUCAUACAAGUAUUAAUGUUUGUUAUUGAUGUAAAUGUCAGCUGAUGUAUCACAAUCCCUUAGCAUUGUCAGUUUUGUUGAACGAAGGGAAACGUAGUGUUUUUGACAAUUAUUUUUUAGCAUGUUUUUGUCUCUUAAGUGAAUGCUAAGUGUUAUUGUAGCUGACAAUGGUGCAUGGACAAAAAAUACUCAGGUUUUCACAUUAUUUUUCCAAAUGGUUGGAGAGUGGUCAUCAUAUAUAUGAAUUAAUCAUGCUAAACAAUUGUUGUUCCUGGCAUUUACAUGUACCGUAUUUUCUGAAUUUUUGUUUAUGGAUAAUGAUGAGUGAUGAUGUUAGGCCUCUAAUUAGUUUUAUUUGAUAAUGAAUAAAAGUCAACAGGUUAAAUCACAGUGAACACAUGUAGUUUAUUCACUUGAUUUAAAUUGGUACAGUGAAAGUCUGCAUCUUAAUCAUUGGUUGCUUUGUGAUAUCUUUUAAUUUAUAUUGUUGAAUAAAUGACUUAUUCUU
rnacentral:misc_RNA from 1 species